UAACACAUGCAAGUCGAGGGGAAACGGCAGCUUAGCUUGCUAAGCUGGACGUCGACCGGCGCACGGGUGAGUAACGCGUAUCCAACCUGCCCCACGGUGAGGGAUAACCCGCGGAAACGCGGCCUAAUACCUCAUGGUCUCCGAGCUUGACAUCAACCUUGGAGUAAAGAUUCAUUGCCGUGGGAUGGGGAUGCGUCUGAUUAGCUUGUUGGCGGGGCAACGGCCCACCAAGGCGACGAUCAGUAGGGGUUCUGAGAGGAAAGCCCCCCACAUUGGAACUGAGACACGGUCCAAACUCCUACGGGAGGCAGCAGUGAGGAAUAUUGGUCAAUGGGCGAGAGCCUGAACCAGCCAAGUAGCGUGCAGGAUGACGGCCCUAUGGGUUGUAAACUGCUUUUAUGCGGGGAUAAAGCGGGCGACGUGUCGCCCUUUGCAGGUACCGCAUGAAUAAGGACCGGCUAAUUCCGUGCCAGCAGCCGCGGUAAUACGGAAGGUCCGGGCGUUAUCCGGAUUUAUUGGGUUUAAAGGGAGCGCAGGCCGGGUAUUAAGCGUGUUGUGAAAUGUAGGCGCCCAACGUCUGCACCGCAGCGCGAACUGGUGCCCUUGAGUACGCACGACGUUGGCGGAAUUCGCCGUGUAGCGGUGAAAUGCUUAGAUAUGGCGAAGAACUCCGAUUGCGAAGGCAGCUGACGGGAGCGCUACUGACGCUCAUGCUCGAAAGCGCGGGUAUCGAACAGGAUUAGAUACCCUGGUAGUCCGCGCGGUAAACGAUGGAUGCCCGCUAUUUGCGCAUUAGCGCAAGUGGCCAAGUGAAAACGUUAAGCAUCCCACCUGGGGAGUACGCAGGCAACGGUGAAACUCAAAGGAAUUGACGGGGGCCCGCACAAGCGGAGGAACAUGUGGUUUAAUUCGAUGAUACGCGAGGAACCUUACCCGGGCUUGAAUUGCAGAGGAAAGAUCCAGAGAUGGUGAUGCCCUUCGGGGCCUCUGUGAAGGUGCUGCAUGGUUGUCGUCAGCUCGUGCCGUGAGGUGUCGGCUUAAGUGCCAUAACGAGCGCAACCCCUCUCCAUAGUUGCCAUCAGGUAGUGCUGGGCACUCUGUGGACACUGCCACCGUAAGGUGCGAGGAAGGUGGGGAUG
rnacentral:rRNA from 1 species